UGGGGAAUAUUGGACAAUGGGCGCAAGCCUGAUCCAGCCACGCCGCGUGAGUGAUGAAGGCCUUCGGGUCGUAAAGCUCUGUGGGGAGAGACGAACCGCCGGUGGCUAAUACCUAUCGGCAUGACGGUACCUCCUUAGCAAGCACCGGCUAACUUCGUGCCAGCAGCCGCGGUAAUACGAAGGGUGCAAACGUUGCUCGGAAUCAUUGGGCGUAAAGCGCACGUAGGCGGCUUCGCAAGUCGGAUGUGAAAUCCCGUGGCUCAACCAUGGACGUGCAUUCGAAACUGCGAAGCUUGAGUAUGGAAGAGGGUCGCGGAAUUCCCGGUGUAGAGGUGAAAUUCGUAGAUAUCGGGAGGAACACCAGUGGCGAAGGCGGCGACCUGGGCCAAUACUGACGCUGAGGUGCGAAAGCGUGGGGAGCAAACAGGAUUAGAUACCC
rnacentral:rRNA from 1 species